GACGAACGCUGGCGGCGUGCUUAACACAUGCAAGUCGAACGGAAAGGCCCUGCUUUUGUGGGGUGCUCGAGUGGCGAACGGGUGAGUAACACGUGAGUAACCUGCCCUUGACUUUGGGAUAACUUCAGGAAACUGGGGCUAAUACCGGAUAGGAGCUCCUGCUGCAUGGUGGGGGUUGGAAAGUUUCGGCGGUUGGGGAUGGACUCGCGGCUUAUCAGCUUGUUGGUGGGGUAGUGGCUUACCAAGGCUUUGACGGGUAGCCGGCCUGAGAGGGUGACCGGCCACAUUGGGACUGAGAUACGGCCCAGACUCCUACGGGAGGCAGCAGUGGGGAAUAUUGCACAAUGGGCGGAAGCCUGAUGCAGCAACGCCGCGUGCGGGAUGACGGCCUUCGGGUUGUAAACCGCUUUCGCCUGUGACGAAGCGUGAGUGACGGUAAUGGGUAAAGAAGCACCGGCUAACUACGUGCCAGCAGCCGCGGUGAUACGUAGGGUGCGAGCGUUGUCCGGAUUUAUUGGGCGUAAAGGGCUCGUAGGUGGUUGAUCGCGUCGGAAGUGUAAUCUUGGGGCUUAACCCUGAGCGUGCUUUCGAUACGGGUUGACUUGAGGAAGGUAGGGGAGAAUGGAAUUCCUGGUGGAGCGGUGGAAUGCGCAGAUAUCAGGAGGAACACCAGUGGCGAAGGCGGUUCUCUGGGCCUUUCCUGACGCUGAGGAGCGGAAGCGUGGGGAGCGAACAGGCUUAGAUACCCUGGUAGUCCACGCUGUAAACGGUGGGUACUAGGUGUGGGGUCCAUUCCACGGGUUCCGUGCCGUAGCUAACGCUUUAAGUACCCCGCCUGGGGAGUACGGCCGCAAGGCUAAAACUCAAAGGAAUUGACGGGGCCCCGCACAAGCGGCGGAGCAUGCGGAUUAAUUCGAUGCAACGCGUAGAACCUUACCUGGGUUUGACAUGGAUCGGGAGUGCUCAGAGAUGGGUGUGCCUCUUUUGGGGUCGGUUCACAGGUGGUGCAUGCCUGUCGUCAGCUCGUGUCGUGAGAUGUUGGGUUAAGUCCCGCAACGAGCGCAACCCUUGUUCACUGUUGCCAGCACGUUAUGGUGGGGACUCAGUGGAGACCGCCGGGGUCAACUCGGAGGAAGGUGGGGAUGACGUCAAGUCAUCAUGCCCCUUAUGUCCAGGGCUUCACGCAUGCUACAAUGGCUGGUACAGAGAGUGGCGAGCCUGUGAGGGUGAGCGAAUCUCGGAAAGCCGGUCUCAGUUCGGAUUGGGGUCUGCAACUCGACCUCAUGAAGUCGGAGUCGCUAGUAAUCGCAGAUCAGCAACGCUGCGGUGAAUACGUUCCCGGG
rnacentral:rRNA from 1 species